UACGUAGGGUGCAAGCGUUAAUCGGAAUUACUGGGCGUAAAGCGUGCGCAGGCGGUUUUGUAAGUCUGUCGUGAAAUCCCCGGGCUCAACCUGGGAAUGGCGAUGGAGACUGCAAGGCUAGAGUUUGGCAGAGGGGGGUAGAAUUCCACGUGUAGCAGUGAAAUGCGUAGAUAUCAGGAGGAACACCAGUGGCGAAAGCGGCUUCCUGGUCCAGCACCGACGUUCAGGCACGAAAGCGUGGGGAGCAAACAGG
rnacentral:rRNA from 1 species